rnacentral:ncRNA from 1 species
CGGUAUUCUCAGGGCGGGGUGAAACUCCCCACCGGUGGUAAAUCUGUUUCCUACAGAAAGCCCACGAGCGCCUGCAGCUGACUUGUCAGCAGCAGGGUCAAGCAGAUCUGGUGUAACUCCAGAGCCGACGGUUAUAGUCCGGAUAAAAGAGAAUUACA